GGAUACAACAGGUUCCGUGGUGUAGCGGUUAUCACAUCUGCUUUACACGCAGAAGGUCGCCGGUUCGAUCCCGGUCGGAACCACGAUCUUUCUCUUUUUUUAUAUUUUUACUUUUAAA